rnacentral:lncRNA from 1 species
AAAUAUUCCUUUUGAAUGGCAGACUGCAAUUGGAUGAAAUUGAAAUUUGAAGUCUAGAAGGUUUCAAAUACUUUAAUUCACGUAUAAGGAUGCUGAAGCCCAGGAAAGUGAAGUCAACAUCUUUCAGCAUCCCAGGGAAUCUAAAGUGUCAUUUCCUCUCUGGAAGAAAGGAAGCACAAAACAUGCUGGGUAUGUACUCUAAAUUUUCACUCAGUGUCAGUUCUAACUAUAAAUUUCUCCCAAGUCCUGUAUCUCUCUCAUUCUUUUUCCCCAACCCUCUCCAAAUCUUACAUCAAUACCUUUCUUUUAAAGUUAGGAUGCAGGAUUUUUACAGGAUGACACAUAUUAAAUUAAAAUAAAGCUGUGACUGUAAAACAAAUUACCUUCUAUCCACCCCCAAUUCCUUUAAUCUAUUGCUUUCCACUGGAUUAUGUUCUGUAAGUGAUUUUGUUGUAAUGGUUAGUUUUGUUUUCAGGAAAAUCACAUUUUGCAAAUAAUGAGA